rnacentral:rRNA from 1 species
CUAUGCCUAGCCAUAAACAUCGAUAGUACACUACACCCACUAUCCGCCCGGGAACUACGAGCAUCAGCUUGAAACCCAAAGGACUUGGCGGUGCUUUAGAUCCACCUAGAGGAGCCUGUUCUAGAACCGAUAACCCCCGUUCAACCUCACCUUUCCUUGUCUUUCCCGCCUAUAUACCGCCGUCGUCAGCUUACCCUGUGAAGGUCUAAUAGUAAGCAAAAUUGGUACAACCCAAAACGUCAGGUCGAGGUGUAGCGUAUGGGAAGGGAAGAAAUGGGCUACAUUCCCUAUUAUAGUGAAUACGAACGACACACUGAAAUGUGUGUCUGAAGGAGGAUUUAGCAGUAAGCAGGAAAUAGAGUGUUCCGCUGAAAUGGCCCUGAAGCGCGCACACACCGCCCGUCA